AUUGCACCACUGGUCGAUACUACAUACUCUGGAGAGUAUCUCGGCCAAAUAUCAUGAUGAUUGGAUGAGUGAUAAGAAAAUGAUAAGCUUCCAAAGGUAAGCGCGCAGGUCGUCUUUCUGCAGUUCAUACCAGUUUCCUCAGUUAUCACAGUGAAGUGAUGUUUAUAUGUGAGGUUCGUCGCCAUUUUCGGCACAAAAGCACAGUUUUCAAAAAGGAAUCCUAAAAUUGAAGGUUUGAGAGCCUCCAACCAGACAUCACAAGUUCAAAACUCCUAAUUAAUUCAAUAAAAUAACAAAAACAGUAAUAAAAUCAUAAAAGCUGCGACUUUUACCUACUUUUUUUGGCAUACCAUUGUCUGAAUCUAUAAAAUGUGAUCAUUACCCGCAAGAAUAUUCGCCUCCUCUCGUAGCCAGUGAAAUUUUUCUUUCAAUGUAAUUUUUUGUGACUUAUUUUGAUUGCUAAAUGUGUUCAUGGUGUUAAUUAUUCAUCAAAUUUAUAUGCGAUUUAGUUGUUGUACAUUUUAAUAUACAUGAAUUUUAAAUUUGAAUAUAUUUCUUGAAUUUCGGACGAAAACUGACUCUUGCUCUUCUUGAUUAUUCGUAGGUACUUCAAAAAAAAAAAAAAAAAAAAAAAUACAAAAUACAUUACAACCUCUUUAAUUUAAAAAAACAACGGACCAGUGUCCGACACGUUCAAUGCCUUUUCUCCCUGUCCAAUAGUAUUAAGGACGCUUUUUACUUUAUUUUCAUCCUGCCAUUUCUUAUACCUCAAAAUUAUGGAAGUAGAUUCCGAAAACAGAUCUUGUUAAUUGCAUGCAGGUAUACUUCGUUCAGUUGUUCAACGU